UCCAUAUGCGCGCGAUGGAAUCCAUAUGCGCGCGAUGGAAAACACCCGAGUCGGACCAGACCAGCAAAAGAAAAGAAAAAACACACCCGUCCAACCCCCAAUCUCACCCUUUUCUCUCUCACCACUCACAUAGAACCCGUGCGCCACCGCCUCCGACCUAAACCUAAAUCGACCGCGCCGCCGCCCCCGAUCUGCGCGCCGCCGCCCGUCCGCUUGUUCCCUCGUGCCACAUCAACUCCAACCCUGACCUUCCUCCCCGCAGGGCACCAUCCACCCAGGAGCAGCAGCUCCAUCCGUCGCGCUGAGGAGUAGCAGUGCCGUCAAGCGCCACCAUACAGGAGCAGCAGCGCCUUCAAGCGCCACCGGACAGGAGCAGCAGAACCAUCCACCAGUAAGGAGAAGCAAGGCCAUCGGCCGCCGAGGAUCCAUCGCUGGUUUUCCUCCACCUGUGGCCUCUGUUCCGGCUGAUUUCCUUCCCUCCGCCCGGCCUGAGGUGGUGGGGGCAAGUGAAGAAUUUACAUCGGUUCUGUUACAGGAACAGAGGAUGGUCCUCCUAAGCUGCUUAAUGAUGGUUGCUAAUGACAAUGAUUUAUAUUUCGAUGAUGAUGACGGUGAUGAGCCAUUGAUGCUCGAGGAUGAAGCAGGGUUAGCCGAGGUCCUCGAAGCCUAUCUCUGACGCUGAUGGGUGGACCGCUCUGCUGCCUAGGCAUGAUCAGCCUGGGAAGUAGUAUUAAGGACAUGAGAAGCAAUACUUGGCGCUGUUUGGUCUGAAGGUAGAGUUGGAAUCCCUCUAGCCCAGCUCUAGGCAGGAGGUCGGUUGGAAUUGGAUCAGUAUCAGGAUUAGGAAGCAACCAAGUCACCCUUUUGAUCAACUAAAAUAGUAACAACAGUCAAUGGUGGUAAUAAACAACAACUUUCCUCCCUCUGGCCUUUCUGUAUCAUCGCAUUAAUUCUGGCCAGUUUAUGGUCCGAUGCAAGUGGCCUGACUAUGUUUCUAUUGUUGUUUAGUAGGGAACUAGGAAUUGUGCGUAAAUGCAGUUAUCUUGUUUUGUUCUGGGCUUGUGAUCCCUCUUUGACAAAGAUGUUCUAAUCGCUGUCGCAACCAAAAAUGGAGUCCCAUGCAAGCCACAACAACAUCAAUUAUUCUUUCUUGCUUUUGUUUUCAUCGUUUAAGCAUUGUUUGUCCUGUUUACAUUGAUAUAUCAAACUGAAUGCAUCAUUUUUGCUGGUUGCUCCUCUGAGGUUUUUAUUGAAUGAUAUCAAUGUUGCUUGCUUAUAGAUUGAAUUUCAGGUUUAUUUAUCGAGUAAGCAAUCUAAUCUGGUACAAUAGAAAUUACUCUUUACUUUGACGCUUGCAGACUUGUGACCAUGAGGUCACGUGUUCAAGUCCUGGAAAGAGCCUCUUGUAGAAAUGUAGGGAAAGGCUGCGUACAAUAGACCCAAAGCGGUCGGACCCUUCCCCGGACCCUGCGCAAGUGGAGCUACAUGCACCGGGCUGCCCUUUUGACGCUUGCAGACCAUGUGAUGUUGCUUGCUUAUAUAUCAACAAGCACACGGCUCCGUGGGCGAGGAGGAUGACUGGGACCCCAACCCCAAGUCGACGACCCUGACCUCGACUUCCCACACAAGGGAUAAAUGGUAGAAAGUAGCAAGUCCACAAGUUGAUCGAAGAUGUUCUCCUGAUUUCUUUUGUUGAGAACAGGGUUCACACAUUUUGUUCAUAUGGAAGUUGAUUUGGCUUGGUGAUUGAAGAGUUGGUCUUCCAUAAUAUUCUGUAGUAGUCAAGAGAUCAAGGAUUUGUCUCCUAGGAACUUUGGCCAUUAUGCUUGUAAUAACGUGCCUCUCUCGGUACUUAUAUCUGACUUGUGUAUACUUAAUGGCUGUAGCUAACUUCAGUGAAGAAAACUAAUGAAUCUUCUAUAUAUGUCGAAUGAAUGCAUUGAUCAAUGGUAUCUUUUGCUGAAUAGAAGAGUCUGACUUGUGUAUACUUAAUGGC
rnacentral:rRNA from 1 species